AACACACACAUAGUUGCAAACUACCUGAACCAGUUACUUCUACUGCCAAGCACGCCACGCAUGGGAGGAAUCAGGGAGGGGAGGGGAAUGUACCACACCUCUCUCUGAUUUCCUCCUUCUCAGGUUCACAUUCUGGAACCUGCACUUCAUCUUCCACCCUGGCAGACUGGAAACCUUCAAUAUUAACUGCGUGGCGCCCUUCCGCCAUUCCCCGAGUGUCGUGGUCCUCCUCCUCCUCUUCCUCCUCCUCCUCUUCCUCGGGAGGAUACCCAUUGGUGUCACACUCGUCAUCUGACUCGGAAGAAGAGCUUCCACCCGAGCUGGAAUCAUCACUUGAAGUUGUCUCAUACCUAGGUGGCAAUUGGGAUUUCAGGAGAUGCACGGUGUCCCCAUAAAGACCCAGCGACAGAUGUUCCUGAGAAGGGGAAGCUCUGGCCUGACCCCAGACACCUUGCCAGUGGUUUAGAGCCUGCACUUAGAAACUCAAAGUAAGGUCUAUUUGAAGGCCUGGCAAGUUCACAAUGGGCUUUGGCUUCAGAGAGAUAAUUCCUAGUUGGAGACUGGUAUUGUAUACCAUUUGUUAAAAAAAAAAAAAAACAAA
rnacentral:lncRNA from 1 species